rnacentral:misc_RNA from 1 species
UGGUGUCAGGGUACGCGGCGACACACGAAGUGUAGGCAGAGGUGCAGUGUCCCUUCUGCGCUGGGGGACCCGACCUCCUCAUUUUACACGGCCACAUGUUAACGCGCAUUCUUCGCGCCCCGCUCUAUCGACAAUCGUUUCUUCAUCAUUUUCUCUUUAGCACCGAUACACACGAACGCGCCAACAGGCACACACACACACAGGUACGUAGAUACGCUUUCUUUCUAAUACCUUUUGUGGUGGCUGCUGCUGAGCAUGGCACACUAUGGUGACCCUGAGGCACAUCGGUGCAUCCUCGAAGAGGUCUAUGCCAUUCCUGCUGCACCGCGUCUCAUGGCAUACCUCAAAGCCACCGCGAUGGGCUCGCAGGGCUCAGACGUCGGGUUGCAGGAGCUGCGGCAUUUCCCUGGUGACCAUAAACAGCAUGACCCACACCUAGAGGUGAUGUUGGCGCUGUUGUCCCUCACGGUGCUUGCCUCCAAGGCCCAUCCGGGCUUUCGGGCCGAGCAGAAGCGUGUCAAGGACCUGAUACGGCAGAGGCAAGCGGCGCUAAGGCAGCAGGCAGAGCAAAUUAAGAGUGCCCGCAGUUGCAGCGGCGAUGGCGCUAGCAGAAGCGGUGCCGACCCGUGGCCGUUGGCGUCCAACACCGGCGCCACCUCGUUCCCCGCUCCUUUUUCAAGCACCGUCAUCAGCAGUGCCUCUCCGGCUGCCGUCGCCAGCGCUGCCGCGGAGGGCAAGGAGGAAAAGCUGACCCCUGUCCAGCUGUGGGAGCAGUCCACCGACAUACUCAACUACUGCGAGGCCUACGCGAACUACCUUGGCGGCUUUACUGAGCUGUGGUAUGAACUCUUCGGGCCGAACUACUACUACAGUGCCGCAGCGAACGGCGCCUUCGACGAGGAUGACGACGAAGACCAUCGGGAGGGGACAUGGGCACGACCGUCCGAGGCAGGGGAGCGGGCGCCGCCCCGUUCCCCUGCUUUCCCCCUGUCAUCGUCGCCGCAGCAGUCACGGCAUCAUCAGCAGCAGCACGCACGACGUCGUCAGCGACCGCUGCGCAGCCCCCAGGUGCCUCCGCACUUGUACGCCGUCCACUGGAGUGAUAUCUUAAGCCCGCAGCGCCGCGCCUGGUUCCACGGGCUCCACAACGCGGUGAAGGAGCUGCUGGUUCGCAUCCUCCACCGCGAGCUGCCGUUAGAGUUGUAUAUCCUCUUUAUACAGUACGCAAAUCUCUCUCUUCGCGUGUACUUGCUGCAAACGCUGGCGGAGGUGUUUGAAUGGACGUCGCACUUCGUCGACGUGAUUUACUACGUGCACGUGAUGCGGCAGAGCUACAGCAUCCAGUGCGAGAUGUCGCAGCUGCAGCGCGUGUGGUCGUCGUUCGGCUUGUACGACGGCCGCUUCCUCGUCGACUGCCGUGAGUUCAAUAAGAUGUACACUGAGUCGCAAGGCGCCUUCUCGGAGCAGUGGGAGGUGGUGCCGGGCAGGCCGCCGACAGCGCCGCAGACGCUGAGCGCACAGACUGCUGCGGUGACCACCGCGGUGGUGUCGGCGGCGAUCGCCAGUGUUGAUUUCGCACGCCAAAGCUCCAGCGUUACCGCUGACACCACUGCCCGCGCCUCCUCGUGCACACUCGCCCUCUCCGCUGCAUCGGCGACAACCCUGUCCUCCGACCUCGCCGCGAUUGCCAGCGCAAGGGUGCAGCGGAUGUUCCCGUUUCGCGAGGCUGCAGGGAACACAUCGUUCGACGCUGCUGACGGCAGCCACACUACUGGGUCGAGAACACCGGACGACGAGGCGCUGUCUUCCGCGAGCGACUGUGAGGCGGCGGGCACGGGUGCUGGCGGGACAAAGCGUGCCGUAUAUCUCCCCCUCUUCUACACCUGCUGCUGCUUCACGUGGAUCCUCCAGCGCACGUUUUGGAGCAUGUACGGGCGGUGCUCACUUCUGUUGGAAAGCUGUCUCGGGGCCGAGGUGGCGCCGCAGGUGUCUUCGGUGGAUGGCGCCGGCGAGGUCAACGGAGGCGACGCACCUGUACUCUUCGCCACCUCCCAGCGAGGCGCGCAGCGCCGCAUCGGCGUGAUAGGCAGUAGUGGCCUUCCGAGCUCCCCGGCCUCUCCCGCUUCUCCGAUACCACGCAAUGACGGCGGGGCUGCCGCGAGGGUGCGCUCUGCGUCCACGUCGGCGAUCAGCAUCACAAUCACCCGGAACAACGUCACCAGCCGCCUAAGCGCACUGGAGGGGCCCACGCGCGAUGGCGGCGGCGGCGGCGCAGGCCGACCGCUGCAAGCAGCCCAAGUACCUGCCAACUGCACGCCGUCACCGCCGCCGUCUCAGAAGCAGUCGGGAUUCCUGGUUGCGGCAGCGAACACACAAGUGCCAUCGCACGUGGUGGUUGAUGGCUCACAAGCUGAUGUCGUUGAGGUAACUCCGACUCGGAAUGCCGCAGCGCCUGAGUUGGUUAACGAGAGAGGGAGAGAAGAGGGCGCUGCGUUCUCGUGGGGGUCGGUAUUCGACCUGUUUGUGCAGCGAGGACAGCGUCGUCACGGCUGCGGUGCGACGACCGAAGGCGGUUCCGGCAGCGCAGGGGACACGGCGAGCAUGACACAACGUGCCCACCGUAUUUCCUCGUUUUCACUAGCCACUCCUGCGGGAACGCCGCCUCCGGCCCCUGCGGCGGGCACUGGUGCUCGCGGAGAGCGAAUAAACUCCCUCUUUCUAAAAAACUCAGGAGCCCCGUUUCACCUCCAGUACACCCACCGCGCACGCGAGAUUCAGCUGUACGACGAUCCCUCCGCCACGUUCACGAACGGCAGCGCCGACAACAAAGACGCAAACGCGCUCUUCUUCGAGGAGUUCUACUUUCUCCGGGAGACGGGAUGCUAUGUCCUGUCGCACGCCGUGCGCAACCUUACAUGCUAUCCCCGCUACCCAGCUACACUGCUGAUCUUGACAGACAACACGACUCGGCCCGGACGGGUCUCGUGGUGUGACCACAAGUUCUCCGUCCUGUCCUCGCCCACAGACGAUGGAGACGGGCGUCAAGGCCUGAAGCCGUGGGUGCUUAGCGCAGUCAUCCCCCACACGCGACUUUCCUCCAUCCGCAACGUGCGAGCGAGGCAGGAGGAGGCGCUGCUGAAGCACGUCGUGUUUCAGGUUGCAGGUGCCAAGAGCGCGCGUGUGCGCUUCUGUACGCCGAAUUCCAUUUUUUUUGUUCUAAACAGCGGCAGUGAGAUGGACAGCGGCCGGCUCUAUUUCGCGCUGCACCUACAUGUCGAUCUCUCCGCCCGGAAGCAGCUCGACCUCUCCAUCGACACAGUGAUGGAGGCGGAGAGCCAGUGGGCAUUUCGGGCCCUCGGCGAGCUCCAUGUCAGCUGGGCCAUGUCAUGCACGUGCAACGAAGCGUUACGCGUGGCGUUCCAAAUCGGCUCAGGAGAAGAAGUGUCGUAGUCGCGCCCGCGUGCGUGUCAGAGGAGAGAGACGAAAGAGUGAGGGACUGGCGGGCACACUUACAGCCAUGCACGACGGCAAUC